rnacentral:sRNA from 1 species
AUUUUUAAAGCAUCAUUAAGUUAUUUACAAGGGAUUUUAAAAAGGGUUACAUGGUUUAUAAACAAUUUUAAAAGAU